ACUGACAGCCUGGUCCAGCUGCUGGGCUGUGCGCAGGCGCGAUGCGGUGCGCGUGGGAACCCAGUGGUGGUUUGACGUUGGCCCCGGAGAUGUCGUGUGGAUGCUGGUGUCUGGAUUGACCCGCAGGGUUGGUCCGGUGAGGAGAGUACGUCGUGAGGACCAGCUUUGGACAGCCCAAAGAAAAUAGGCUUUUCUUCAGAAACACCCGUGUCCACUUUAAGGAGCCAGCAAUGUACACUAAUGUGAACGAAUCCAGAAAGAGUGGCUUGAAAAGUAACCAGCAUGAAUAACAUGGUAUCAUCUAUGGAAAAAUCCACUCCAGCUUCAGAAUACCUGGCUUAAAAAGAGCUUUCAUAAUGGACCCAUUUCAUGGGAUUGUUUUAUCCUGCAUUCUUGGGGGUCUUAGACUGCUUACCUAGAGUUUUAAGAUCUAUGUGAACUAACUCUUCUUUUGGUAAGUUAAUAAUGAAACAAAAUAGUAUCCAAGCUAAAUCCAAUUUAGUAUCCAAGCUAAAUUUGGAUGUGUUUUAUUAUUAUUAUUUAUUUUUUGUGUGUGGUACGCGGGCCUCUCACUGUUGUGGCCUCUCCUGUUGCGGAGCACAGGCUCCGGACGCGCAGGCUCAGCAGCCAUGGCUCACGAGCCCAGCUGCUCCACGGCAUGUGGGAUCUUCCCAGACCGGGUCACGAACCCGUGUCCCCUGCAUCGGCAGGUGGACUCUCAACCACUGCACCACCAGGGAAGCCCUGGAUGUGUUUUAUUAUUUUUUGUUAUGUUUUUGUGACACUUGUACAUUGUGAAGAAGUAACUGAGCAAAAAUUCUACAUAGUAUGUUCACAACUCAUUUUGAAUAUUGUGUGUUUUUUAUAAAAAUUACCUGUCUUUAUGUAUAAUUGUAGAAUUUUGAGGUAUGUUUAUUAAAGUCCUUCCAGGGAUAUGUUGUACUAUUAGAUUGCAGGUUAAGGGGAAGCUAUAGAAUCCUUUUUACCAGUUUUACCUUUGAGAGUUGUGCUUUUAUAUACAACGUAAUGUGAACAGCCAAUGUAAAUUUUUAAAAUUUGUAGUUAUAUUUAUCUCUGUGCUGUGCACAUUUUAUUUUUCUCACUUUCUCUCCUCAAAUAAAUUGUGAGAUGUUUUUAACACCA